rnacentral:sRNA from 1 species
UCAAACUCCUGAUUCUUGGCCUUACCCUCCCAAGUGCUAAGAUUAUAAGCGUGUGCCAACAUGACUAGUUUAUUCAUAUAAGGAUUAAAUGUAGGGCUUCAUGCAUACUAGGCAAGCUCUCUGUCAACUGAGCUACCUCCCUAGCCCCUACAAUUGACAACUAACAUGGCAGCUAACAUUCAACUGAAACAAAAUUCUUCAGUCCCAUUAUUUACAUAUAACCAGUACUGACUUCCAGCAGGUAAAACCUCUCCCUAUCAGAUCAUACAUAGACUGUUUUCAAAAUAUUUUCUAAUCCAAUUUUCACAGAUUCGUGAAAGGCUCAAGAGCUUUAACAUACUGUAAAUACUCUUAAAUCAAUCCCUCAUACCCAGAAGAGUAUCUGGAAGACAUAGGAAUUCCUAGCCUGGUGGGUUUUGAUUUUUGACUUGGUGUUGAUUGAACCCAAGUUUUCAUGUUCACAAAGCCUGUAAUGCCCCUUAUCUAUCUCUAGACUGUAUUUGCAGCUCACUCACUUUAUUAUACAUUACCCAAGGCAUAGCAUUUCAAUCUGAAAACAACUUCUCCUUUCCCCUGGGUAAGGAAAAAAUCCUCUUACACAUUUCUGUAUUAAACGACACUGCAGAGCCCAACAGUAAGACAGGUUCCUAUCUGAAAACAUCUGCACUGGAGAUCUCAAGCUAACAGGAGGCCUGAGGUGAUGUGUGAUGUAUGCACUAGUGCACCAGAGGCCUGAGGUGAUGUGUGCGCUAGUGCACCAGAGGCCUGAGGUGAUGUGUGAUGUAUGCACUAGUGCACCAGAGGCCCGAGGUGAUGUGUGCGCUAGUGCACCAGAGGCCCAAGGUGAUGUGUGCACUAGUGUACCAGAGGCCUGAGGUGAUGUGUGAUGUAUGCACUAGUGCACCAGAGGCCUGAGGUGAUGUGUGUGCUAGUGCACCAGAGGCCUGAGGUGAUGUGUGCACUAGUGCACCAGAGGCCUGAGGUGAUGUGUGAUGUAUGCACUAGUGCACCAGAGGCCCGAGGUGAUGUGUGCGCUAGUGUACCAGAGGCCCGAGGUGAUGUGUGCACUAGUAUACCAGAGGCCUGAGGUGAUGUGUGCGCUAGUGUACCAGUGUUCACUGGCAGUAGAGGACAGGGCUGAAUUGUCCUGGGACCUUUUAAUCCCACCCAAGCCCAACCUCUCUUAGGGUUGGCAUUGUUUUGAGGAGGCUUGAAGAGAAAAUGAGUAAGAGUUUGCAACUUGAGGUUGUAUAAGCAGAUUGGAGUUCAGCUAAUGUUUCUAUUUAAGGUCUCUAAUAAACAGUGCAUUUUAUAAAUCUUUGAAGUGCUCCCCAUCCCUUUUGGUGACAGGGUCUUGCUACAUGAGACAGGUUAUCCUUGAUCCUCCUGUCUCAAGUAUCCUUUGUUGGUUUUCCCCUCAUACAUCUUUACUGUGUGUGAAUACACAUACACAUGUCCUUGUGUGUAUAGAGGUCAGAGGAUGACAACUUGAGAGAGCUGGUGUUCACAUGGUUCUGGGGACCGAACUCAGGUCUUUAAGUUUGGUGAUAAGCGCUGUAACCUGGUGAACUACUUCAUGAGCCCUAAAGUGCCUGGCCUUAAAAUAAUCCUCCAGUUCCUUGUCCCCACAGGAGGAAAAAAAAAUCACCACUUGUUUUCUUUCACUCUUAAAACUGCCUUAUUUGGUAUAGUGAUUUAACCUAUAAUUCCAGAACUCCGAAGGCAGAGACAGAACCAGUUUAGGGCAGCCUGGGCUACAGAGUGAGAUGCUGCCUCAAAAAAAAAAAAAAAAAAAAAAAAAAAAACAACCCCAGCAAACCAAAGCUUAGUGUUAAGUUACAGCUAAACUGAAGAUACACAGGACCAUGGGCGAGGAGACGGCCAGGUCCCGUGUGCCCAGCUAGAAUCCUGGACCCAGAGGGAUGCUUUUUGGGAGAGGUGCCCAGAACCUGCAGAAAAAUUGCUUUCUUCAUUCUGUGCGACCCUGACUCGUGGUCCUUGGGGAACAGUCCGAAACAAUCUGGCAAAGCAAGGCUGCCCUUUCACGGGGACAGGCAGACCAAAUACUCCAUUAUUGUCAACACAUAAAAGGUUCCUUACCUGAAAAUAGGGAAAGCAAAUUAUACCGGAUAAGUUAUUUCUUUGAAUAAUAAAAUGUUUGCUAUUAAGUAAGUCAAAGAUUUUAUUUUUUUACUUUAUCAGAUUUUUAUACAUCACUAUUUUGUCUCAAGGGAUACACCAAUGAAUUUGUUUUCAGGUUGGCCAUGAAACAAUAUUUUCCAAUUGUUCUUCUGUAUCAGAAACGAAUAAACAAAAAACAGGAUUCAGCAGUAAAGUUUAGCCAAUUCUCUUUGGGCCACACAUAACCACCUCUGGUGACAUCACAGUGACACUAGAGGACAGGAGGGGUUGGUAACUUAUCCGACUAAUUAUGUUUUAAAAAGAGUCAGCUUGCAAAACAAUGCAAUACAAAUAAAGUAAUAUACAGACAGCUUAACUUCCGGAUGUAGAGGAGGGACUUUUAUUAGGUAAAAGCAACGGACUUUAAAAUGCAACAAAAAUAGCUGUAUGUAAUCCAAAAAUUACAGUUAAAACAACAUAUAGAAAAUAAUCACAUUAUAAUAUGCACGUAUGCCACUUAUAAUUAUUGUAAUUCAUUACACAUGUGGUUAGUACAGUCAAAAUCCAAGCCGUUUUCUUUAGUAAAUCUAGUGUGAUAAAAAUGUAAUAAAAAAACGUUGAAUCAUUUCUAUCUUGAUCUGGUUUCUUGAAUUACUGGAAAGUUUCUCUGUCUUCUAUGUAUUUUAGGGAGCCUGCAGUUCUAUGUGCUUCCUUAAUGUUCCCUAAAGAGAUUAACUCUGGUGGGUGUUUAAACUAGUGUUUUGUCUGUGAUAGGGUUUCAGGAAGCCCAGGCUGGCUUUGACUUCAACUCUAUAGCCCAGGCUGGCUUUGAACUUUUCUUGCCCCUCCCACCUCCCAGGCACUAGGACUACAGGCAACUGUCACCAUGCCUGGCCUCUGGCUUUGCUCUGUGGGGACCUUUCUUCUUUGCUCUCUUUUCUUCUCUAUCACCAGUAUGCUACCGGGUGGACUCUUUCUCUGACUUUUCAGCCAAAGUUUCUAGAACAGUAUUCAAGUUCUUGCUACCUCAGAGUUAGGAUUUUCUUCCAUUUUUAAUAAAAAAAAUUUUUUAAGACAAGUCUCAUUAUAUACCCUUGGCUAGCCUGGAAUGCAUUACGUAGACCAGGCUGGCCAUGAACUUAGAGAUCAGCCUGCCACUGCCUGGGAUUAAAGGUGUGUGCCACUACAUUUUUCAUUUCCUAAGACAGGUUUCAUUGGGUAACUUAUUAAAAUAUUUGAAGAAUUUUGCAUGAAAACAGAAUAAGCAUUUAAACAUUUGAUAGUACACACACACACACAAACAAAGCAAUCAGGAAUUAGUCACAUAGUUAACAAAAAGUAAAAGAAAGUCUAUUCACAAUAAGGAAAUAAUAUGCUCCUAGGAUUCCUACGGUCAAAGAGUGCAUGUGCAGCGAAGCAUUUGUGGUCAUAGCCAGACUCGACUCUCACUGAAUCCUUCCUUCAGGAUUCCCACAGGCAUGUUACCAUUUCAUCUAGUGCUUAGCUUUAUGUUGAGACAUGAAGAGCGUGUCUACAUGGCACUACACACUAGUUCUGAGAUUAACAAACAGUCUACACUAAGGGGUCGUAGUGGUAAGUUCGGAAGAAAAUAAUGUAUGAUUUGUGAAAAUCUACCACUACUGAACAAUAAUGCUCCUCCUCUUCGAGAGACUUAGAGGCUGCACUAAUAUCCACAAGCAAGUGCGUGACUGGUGAGAAAGGAAGACCAGUGUUCUGUUGCCAUAAUAGCUACAUUAUCUUGUUAAAGGACUGGCCUUGGAUUUUCUUUCUCACUACCCAUCUUUUACUUACACUCUACAGAUAUUUUUAGUAUCCUUUUAAACUGCUUAAGUACAUUUCAUAAUAUAUAAGCUACAAUUUUGGUUAUUUUUAGAAUGAUGUUUUUAUGGAAAUACAUAAUUAUCUCUCUAUAUAUAAUGUAUGUAAGAAGUCUAGCAAGCCCUAUUAUUCUAGAUCCGUGAAGAUACAUGACAAAGUUUCAUUUUAGUGUAGCUUUAAUCAUUGAUGUCACAUGACUUUUACAGUAGCCUUUCUUUAGCAGAUUUCCCAUAAGUACUGGGAGAGUCACUGUGAAUCAGUUUUGUUACAAGGUGAUUCCAAAGUGAUGUUUAUUGAGUUUUCUUGGAUCUUUGCAACUGGAACUUUAGGGAUGAUGACGUUUGUCAGGAGGACAGAAAAGACGGUGCCGCGUCAAACCUGACUUCCUGGGUCUGCACUUAAAGAUUAUCUGUUGAAGAAUGGUUCUUCCCCAUGUCCUCUCCAAAUUCAGAUCUGUCACUUCUCCAGAGGCUUAGAAGGCCCUACUGCACCACUGCCACACAGAAAAAGACAAAACUCAAGAAAAAUAGUAUCACAAGUCAACUGCUCUACAAGACAACAUCAUGCUUAGGUCAUAAUAUUUUAGCUUUGGCACAGAGUAGGAGCCAGAGAACAGCUCCUAGAACUCAAACUUACUUCUCAAAUGUAAUGCACUGUACCUUUCAAGUAUAAAGUAUCAUAGUGAUAUCAUUGUUCAAAUACAGGCACCCUUUAUUUUUAUUAUUCAUAUGAUUUAAGUAAGGAUGGCUGGGUAAGUCUGUGUGACGGAUGGAGAAUCGAUUACAAGUGAGAGGGAAGGAAGUGUGUUUGCUAACGACAGACAUCCGACUGACAUACAGUUUAAUGUUCGUGGUUUUAGUCUGCAGCCAUCACACAAACACUACUCUCUUCAGGUAGUAGGUGUACAGUCUGCAAAUGAAAACCAAGUACAAACAUGGCCAGGGUUAGUCUUAGGUCCGCCACUCCCCUAACCUGUCCCCUGGGACUGGGUACAGUGAUAUUUCUGCAGGAAUGUUUUGCCCUAAUAUUAAUAUCCUUUAAAAAAAAAGGUUCCCUAAAACGUCUUCUCACAUUAGGGAACAUAAGCAUUUGAAAGAAAAGGUGCUUUUUGUAAUCUGUGCGUUUAAGUUUGCUUCACCAGAAACAGUACUGUGGUUGUGCAUACACGCUUGUGAUACUGGCACUUGGGAGGUAGAGGCAGGAGGAUCAGAAGUUCAAGGCCAGGCUGGGCUACCUGAGACUAUCUUCAAAACAAAACAAAACCCUAGCUCUAUCUAUUCACUUGAAUUCACUUGAUAGAGUGAAUAACCAGGUAAACUGUUGGUUUAAGGAGAAAACAAAACAUUCUUUUAAGGAUAGCUUAAAGGCUGUAUGUUUAACCCUAGUCAUAUCUAUAUAUGAGGAGAGAGAGAGAAAGAGAGAGAGAGAGAGAGAGAGAGAGAGAGAGAGAGAGAUUUUCUCUGUGUAGCCCUGGCUGUUCUGGAACUCUGCACACCAGGCUGGCCUUGAACUCUGGUCUGCACAUGCCACCAUGACUGGCCUUGUUUUUAAUGCAAAGUUUCUUAUACAAGAUUAUUAAUACUCGUGGUCCUGAAAGGCUUCUUGUCACCUUCCUUGGGUACUAGCCUUUCCAAUGCUUUUAUGCUUAACUUGAUGAUCAGCACAUGACACAUUUGAAUAUAGACCAUGUACUGAAUUGUAAUUGCCACAUCGCAUUUCAGUUAGAUGCCUCCUGCCCUCCAGUGAUCUGUGUGGGCUUUGAUACAAAGAAUAUCAUUGCUAAUUUGCCUCAGUGAUUUGGUUCUCCUAAAUAUAAGGAAAUUAAAGAUUUAAACUCAGUGCUAACUUCAGUUACUUUUGUGUAUGCCUAUACAAAUGAAUGUUGGUAAUAAGUUAGUUCAAAACUAGUAUGGAUCUACAAGCUGUCACUGCUCUCUGGUUCAUUUUUAUUUACCAUCUGUCACCGACACACAUAAACAUGAAAACCCUUCUCUUUUUGCCUUUAGAAAGAACUGGGUUUUGUGUUUUUAAUGAGAUCAGACCCUUACCUAGAGUUGACAGGGGUUAGUGAAGAGCAGGCCAUCUAAAUGACUAUAUUGGUACCAUUAAUAGAACCUUCUCUAACCCAUCCUUUUACUUAAAACAAAGGAUGCAUAUUGUUCUCCUUAAAGCAUUACUUAACUAUUUUUGUUUUAAGUGCUGCUAGACUGGCGUGGUUAAGAGCUGUCACUUCAUGGGGUCAACUCUCACUUCUUCUUUUUUUUUUUUUUUUGGUUCUUUUUUUCUGAGCUGGGGACCGAACCCAGGGCCUUGCGCUUCCUAGGUAAGCGCUCUACCACUGAGCUAAAUCCCCAGCCCCAACUCUCACUUCUUUUGAGGAGCUUGCCUGGAAAUCUAUAGACAUUUUCAUAAGUGGGAUUAUACACUGUAAGACUAACCAACUUUUGUUUUCAAGCAGAUUCCUUUAGCAAA